rnacentral:lncRNA from 1 species
UGCGUGCUACUGGCUCAGCUGCCUUAACAGAGACCAAAUAGCAGUGGUUUAAGCCCGGGGGAGGGUCUGCUUGUCCUUACGUCAAAGUUGCGCAGGCAGGUGCCCUGGGGUGGAGCAGACAGGUGCCUGUGCUCCAAGGGGCACCUGGAGACCCAGGCUCCUUCCAGCUGGUGGCUCAGCCACGCACAAGGGGCUGUGCCGUUCUGGAGGGCUUGGUUGAUGCUGGCCAACCCGAUCCACCAGCUCCAGCUGGCCACAUGGGGAGGCGGGAGCAGCGGGCAAGCAGAUCCCUUUGAGGAGUGACUUGAACUUGCUCGUGCUCCUUCUACGUUCUCCAGCCAGAGCCGAGCUGCCCUGACUGUAAAGCCACAGAGCCGUGUGCACGGUCCAAUCGCCAAAGAGAAGGGGGGGGUUGAACACAGGGGGAGCCAGCAAUUGCUGCGCGUUACUGAGGGCAGGGGGCAGAGGGACACGGGGGAGAAGGAGGCAGGCAGGAAAUGACCGGCUGACCACUCGAAAAGGUCACGUUGGCAGCCGUUCGGAGAGAAGGAUCUGGGGGCUGAGGAUGGGCCCAAGAAUGGAAGCAGGGAGGCCAGCUCAGAGGCCAUCGCAGCCGUGUGGGGAGAGAGGAUGCUGACCUGGUCCAGAGCGGAGAUGGAGAGAACGGAGCAGAUGACGUGGCCCUGUGGCCGGGGCUCAUCACACUCUUGGAGAGCAUCAGAGCAUCUCCCUGUGCCUAUUACGGUGAUGUCAUCUGGACUGAGUACAAGACGGUGAGACGGAUGCGUGCCCUUCCUCGGAGUCAGGUUCUAAACGGUAACUCUGACCCCUCAGUGUGGCUCCUGUGCCCUCGCGAUCACUUAAAAGCUGAGUGUGGCCUUUAGGAUGUGCUGUCAGCAUCCGUUG